GGGCACAUGGUGUAGUUGGUUAUCACGCUCGCUUAGCACAAACAGUUUAUUCCUUCUUGUGGAGAACUUCGUAACUACGGAGUGCGAGAGGUGUUGGGUUCAAUUCCCAAUGUGUCCA